AGGGGGAUGUAUAAAUUUGACUGCGAAGCAGUAUGGUGUUAUGCGUUACGCCCCUUUCUGCGUCAUCUCGAGUCGCCGGUCAGGUAUGUGUUGGUUAUGUUGGUUGAGGGUUGGUAGUGUGCUGUGUCUUAUUAAUAUUUUCCUUGUCUAGAGUUGUUUAUUUGGACAUACCUUGCGACUGGUGCUUGGUUGACGUGUUCCCUCUCGGCAGUUUGAAGUGAGUAUGCAGGAGACUUUAACAGUACCGACCGUUGCCUGAUGUUACCCAGUGCCGUUGUGUGCUGUGAGAUCUCUUUAUUCGAGUGAGCCCACGGGUGCACAGUGCUGUGUACGUGAUUUGUGGGGAGAUCGCACACAUACGAUCGUGUUGUCUCGUAUCAACGGCUCCUGUUUCCCUGUACACGCUAAUCCCAGCGAGCCUGCAGCUUUCUGCCUUAUCCUUGUAUUUAUCUGUGCUUCUGGAUCGCUCAUUCAACUG